rnacentral:rRNA from 1 species
CGGGUGAGUAACGCGUGGUAACCUGCCUCAUACAGGGGGAGUAACAGUUAGAAAUGACUGCUAAUACCGCAUAAGCGCACAAAACCGCAUGGUUUGGUGUGAAAAACUGAGGUGGUAUGAGAUGGACCCGCGUCUGAUUAGCUAGUUGGAGAGGUAACGGCUCACCAAGGCAACGAUCAGUAGCCGACCUGAGAGGGUGACCGGCCACAUUGGGACUGAGACACGGCCCAAACUCCUACGGGAGGCAGCAG